AUUGAACGCUGGCGGCAUGCCUUACACAUGCAAGUCGAACGGUAACGCGGGGGCGAACCCUGGCGACGAGUGGCGAACGGGUGAGUAAUACAUCGGAACGUACCCAGUAGUGGGGGAUAGCUCGGCGAAAGCCGGAUUAAUACCGCAUACGACCUAUGGGUGAAAGCGGGGGAUCGCAAGACCUCGCGCUAUUGGAGCGGCCGAUGUCGGAUUAGCUAGUUGGUGAGGUAAAGGCNCACCAAGGCUACGAUCCGUAGCUGGUCUGAGAGGACGACCAGCCACACUGGGACUGAGACACGGCCCAGACUCCUACGGGAGGCAGCAGUGGGGAAUUUUGGACAAUGGGCGAAAGCCUGAUCCAGCCAUGCCGCGUGUGUGAAGAAGGCCUCGG
rnacentral:rRNA from 1 species